rnacentral:rRNA from 1 species
GAGGAAUAUUGGUCAAUGGACGGAAGUCUGAACCAGCCAAGUAGCGUGCAGGAAGACGGCCCUCCGGGUUGUAAACUGCUUUUGGUCGGGAAUAAAGUGCCCCACGUGUGGGGUAUUGCNUGUACCGUCAGAAAAAGGACCGGCUAAUUCCGUGCCAGCAGCCGCGGUAAUACGGAAGGUCCGGGCGUUAUCCGGAUUUAUUGGGUUUAAAGGGAGCGCAGGCGGACGUUUAAGUCAGUUGUGAAAUACGGCGGCUCAACCGUCGGGGUGCAGUUGAUACUGGACGUCUUGAGUGCACACAAGGAUGCCGGAAUUCAUGGUGUAGCGGUGAAAUGCUCAGAUAUCAUGAAGAACUCCGAUCGCGAAGGCAGGUGUCCGGGGUGCAACUGACGCUGAGGCUCGAAAGUGCGGGUAUCAAACAGGA